UGGGGAAUUUUGGACAAUGGGGGAAACCCUGAUCCAGCCAUCCCGCGUGUGCGAUGAAGGCCUUCGGGUUGUAAAGCACUUUUGGCAGGAAAGAAACGUCAUGGGUUAAUACCCCGUGAAACUGACGGUACCUGCAGAAUAAGCACCGGCUAACUACGUGCCAGCAGCCGCGGUAAUACGUAGGGUGCAAGCGUUAAUCGGAAUUACUGGGCGUAAAGCGUGCGCAGGCGGUUCGGAAAGAAAGAUGUGAAAUCCCAGAGCUCAACUUUGGAACUGCAUUUUUAACUACCGGGCUAGAGUGUGUCAUAGGGAGGUAGAAUUCCGCGUGUAGCAGUGAAAUGCGUAGAUAUGCGGAGGAACACCGAUGGCGAAGGCAGCCUCCUGGGAUAACACUGACGCUCAUGCACGAAAGCGUGGGGAGCAAACAGG
rnacentral:rRNA from 1 species